UACGUAGGGGGCGAGCGUUGUCCGGAAUCAUUGGGCGUAAAGGGUGCGUAGGCGGACGCUUAAGUCAGAUGUGAAAUGCUGCGGCUCAACUGCGGAGUUGCAUUUGAAACUGGGUGUCUUGAGUGCAGGAGAGGGAAGCGGAAUUCCUAGUGUAGCGGUGAAAUGCGUAGAUAUUAGGAGGAACACCAGUGGCGAAGGCGGCUUCCUGGACUGUAACUGACGCUGAGGCACGAAAGCUGGGGGAG
rnacentral:rRNA from 1 species